CCGUCAUAUAACCGUGGUUAUAUAACCGGCAUAUUACCAUGGUUAUAUAACCAGCAUAUAACCAUGGUUAUAUAAUCGGCAUAUAACCAUGGUUAUAUAACCG